GACAGAGGCCUCGAGCGUUAGGCGGAAUCACUGGGCUUAAAGCGUGUGUAGGCGGGCCCGUAAGUGUCUUGUGAAAUCCCACGGCUCAACCGUGGAACUGCUGGGCAUACUGCGGGUCUUGGGCCAACUAGGGGCAGCCGGAACAAGCGGUGGAGCGGUGAAAUGCGUAGAUAUCGUUUGGAACGCCAAUGGUGAAAACAGACAGCUGGGAGUGUGCUGACGCUGAGACACGAAAGCCAGGGGAGCGAACGGG
rnacentral:rRNA from 1 species